rnacentral:rRNA from 1 species
GACGAACGCUGGCGGCGUGCUUAACACAUGCAAGUCGAACGAAGAGCGAUGGAAGCUUGCUUCUAUCCAUCUUAGUGGCGAACGGGUGAGUAACGCGUAAUCAACCUGCCCUUCAGAGGGGGACAACAGUUGGAAACGACUGCUAAUACCGCAUACGACCUAAUCUCGGCAUCGAGGAUAGAUGAAAGGCGGCCGCUACAUGUAAGCUAUCACUGAAGGAGGGGAUUGCGUCGGAUGAGGUAGUUGGAGGGGCAAAGGCGCACCAAGGGGAGGAUGAGUGGUCGGUAGGCGAGGAUGGGCGGCCACAUUGGGACUGAGACACGGCCCAGACGGCUACGGGAGGCAGCAGGGGGGAAUCGUCCGCAAUGGACGAAAGUCUGACGGAGCAACGCCGCGUGCGUGAUGACGGCCUUCGGGUUGUAAAGCUCUGUUAAUCGGGACGAAAGGCCUUCUUGCGGAUAGUGAGAAGGAUUGACGGUACCGGAAUAGAAAGCAACGGCUAACUACGUG